GACGAACGCUGGCGGCGUGCUUAACACAUGCAAGUCGAACGGAAAGGCCCUGCUUUUUUGGGGUGCUCGAGUGGCGAACGGGUGAGUAACACGUGAGUAACCUGCCCUUGACUUUGGGAUAACUUCAGGAAACUGGGGCUAAUACCGGAUAGGAGCUCCUGCUGCAUGGUGGGGGUUGGAAAGUUUCGGCGGUUGGGGAUGGACUCGCGGCUUAUCAGCUUGUUUGUGGGGUAGUGGCUUACCCAGGCUUUGCCGGGUAGCCGGCCUGAGAGGGUGACCGGCCACAUUGGGACUGAGAUACGGCCCAGACUCCUACGGGAGGCAGCAGUGGGGAAUAUUGCACAAUGGGCGGAAGCCCGAUGCAGCAACGCCGCGUGCGGGAUGACGGCCUUCGGGUUGUAAACCGCUUUCGCCUGUGACGAAGCGUUAGUGACGGUAAUGGGUAAAGAAGCACCGGCUAACUACGUG
rnacentral:rRNA from 1 species